ACAUGUAAAGCACAUCAGCACUCUCUUAUGACUGUUUAUGCAGUCAUAAGAGCCUUCCAGAUGCUUAAGGAUCAUGGCUGUUUUCCUGUGCUGAGGCAUGAGGGAGACUGAUCAUGUCUCAAAACGGCAUUUAUAAGAAUCCUGGCAGGAAAAGAUGAAAAUUAUGACUCUUCUUUCAACAUUGCCUUCUGUGGCUGAGAUUGAUAAAAUACUUGACAGACCAUCCUCCAAUGCUUCUUCCUGGCCACAGUUUUCCAGCAGAUCCUGGUGUGUGUUACCCAGCGGGAGCUGUGGUGGCAGAUUAGAAGUUCAGUGGACAGGCCAGAGUCACAGUAAUUGCCCAAUAUCACCUCCUGAAGUGUUUUUAAAGACAAGGGAGGAGAAGAGUUGUCAAAAAACUUGAGGUUGGAAUAGACAAACAAAAACAGAUCCCUGGAAAAAGGAAGUUUGCUUCAUUCAUGAGGUUAAAUAAGAUAAAAACAGCGGAGAAGCUGCAAGCUAAUGUUUUCUUUGCGAGCCAAAGAAUGCUUUUCAACUGCUUAGAGAGAGACACAUUUUGUCAGCUCCUAAGAAGAAUUGGUUAAACCGAAGCCCACUAAUAACUGAGGUGAUCUUUCUCAAGGAAAUAAAACAAGCAAGUGAAAAAAAUUCCCCACAAUUCUCUCUUGGUUCUGUCUGAACUUCUUACGUAUCACCAGUGGAAUUACACAAGACUGAGUUACUCAAUUAUAGCCAGUUGCAGCUGUAUAAAUACAGACAGUGAAAAAUUUUAUCUGCGGACCAGUUAUCAUCGAUUACAACAGGAAUAAUAUCAAUAAUUCAGACUCGUAGCAAUAGCUAUCUGAUGAACCUGAUUUACUCCUUCCAUUUCCAGUUCUGUUUCAGGUUAUGAAAUGCCUUCUUUUGAAAUGGAUUUUAAUCCAGAGACACCUUUAUUUGUGUCUGCAAGAGGCUUGAUGGGGUAGCUUUUAUCAGAAGUCCACUUUGCCCAGCAUGGGUUUGUUACUUCCAUUGUAACUGAUGAGCAGAAGAUGCCUGCUCCUGUUUAGGCUGUUUUGCCAAGCUUUUAAGAACUCUUGUGUUUACAUACUUGCUUUAAGGCAGUUAUGGUUUCAGCUAGUGACUUCAGCUUUUGUAUAAAGAUUAUGGUCCAGCAGCAUUGCCAAGUAAUAAGAGUUUCUUCCUGAACAUUUUGCUCAAAUAAGCUUUUUACAGCCAUGGUAAUAGCACUAAUACACCUGCUGAUAUUUGCAUUGCUUUUAUGAAGCCUGGAAAUGAUUGUUUUCCUAGUGUUUUACACAGAACAGUAAUAAGUACUGAAUUCUGCAGUAUAAACAAGGAGGAUUGGUGCUGUUUAUUAUCUCAUCUUACUUUUUAAAGGCUUUUUUGCUAUGCUUAUAUUACUAAAGUGAUGGUUUGCAAUGAUAUGAAUUGCAAGGAUUGCAAUGUACUAUUUAAUCAUCAAAUAUAUUUAGCGCUGAUUCUGUAUGCACACUAGUGCUGUAUAAAAUAAUGAGUGAACCAUAAGCAACAAAAAAACCCUUAGCUGGUUUGAAGUGUUCCUUAUGCACUGGCUGGAGGUAAUGCAAAAGAAUUUUGCCCCAUAAUGCCAACCAAGAAGUGCCAUUUCCAAGCAGCAGCAUGCAAUCAAAAUUCUCUUUGCUAUUUAAAGUAUCACUGACAACCAAGAAAGCCCAGAAGAUAUUAUCUGCCCUUUAAGUGGCUGAAGCCACAGGAUGUGAAUGCCAUGCUAUUUGAAUUUCCUUUGCUUCUAAUUUAGUAUAAGCAGUAUUCAUUUUACCUCAAUCAUUGUUAUAUAUAGAUAUACAAAAAUCAAAAUCUUCCUCUUACCAUGUGGAAUUAGAAAGCACAUGACUCAAAAUGGCUUUGACUUAUAAUUACAGAUAAAUAAUUAAUGACAUGUUUGAAGACCCAUAAGACAAAUUAAAACCACUAGCUAAACUAAUAUGUAAUUAAAUGGUAUUAAAAAUAAAUAGAAAAUAAAAAGUAAGAAAGAAUAAUAGAUGAUUGAAUGAAUCAAGCUAUUAGGGCAAAAUAUUAAAAGAAAAAAAAAUUAAGUUGCUUUUUUUACAUCAAUUUCCCUUCAUUUUUGUACUCUUUUCCUGUCUAAGGUACAGGUUAAAUCACUUCUUCUAACUGCCAAUACAAACCUUCACUUUUUGUAAAUGCCAGGAUACAGAAACUCCAGCUAAGCUUCCUUUUUUCAAUGAACUGUGUAGCU